rnacentral:tRNA from 1 species
GCGCUUGUAGCUCAGCUGGAUAGAGUGACUGGCUACGAACCAGUAGGUCGGGGGUUCGAAUCCCUCCAGGCGUGCCA